AGGGCUUGACAUGCGGGGUGAAGCCGUGGAAACACGGUGCUCCUUCGGGAGCCCGCGCAGGUGCUGCAUGGCCGUCGUCAGCUCGUGCCGUGAGGUGUUGCCUUAAGUGGCGCAACGAGCGCAACCCCUGCCCCUAGUUGCCAGCGGGUAAUGCCGGGGACUCUAGAGGGACUGCCGGUGCCAAACCGGAGGAAGGUGGGGAUGACGUUAGUCAGUCAA
rnacentral:misc_RNA from 1 species